rnacentral:rRNA from 1 species
CCUACGGGCGGCAGCAGUGGGGAAUAUUGGGCAAUGGACGCAAGUCUGACCCAGCAACGCCGCGUGAAGGAAGAAGGCUUUCGGGUUGUAAACUUCUUUUAAGGGGGAAGAGCAGAAGACGGUACCCCUUGAAUAAGCCACGGCUAACUACGUGCCAGCAGCCGCGGUAAUACGUAGGUGGCAAGCGUUGUCCGGAUUGACUGGGUGUAAAGGGCGUGCAGCCGGAGAGGCAAGUCAGAUGUGAAAGCCGCGGGCUCAACUCGCGAACUGCAGUUGAAACUGAUUGCCUUGAGUAUAGGAGAGGUGAGCGGAAUUCGUGGUGUAGCGGUGAAAUGCGUAGAUAUUAGGAAGAACACC